GGGUUGUGAGGUUAAGCGACUAAGCGUACACGGUGGAUGCCCUGGCAGUCAGAGGCGAUGAAGGACGUGCUAAUCUGCGAAAAGCGCCGGCGAGGUGAUAUGAACCUUUGACCCGGCGAUGUCCGAAUGGGGAAACCCAGUGUGUUCCGACACACUAUCGUUAACUGAAUACAUAGGUUAACGAGGCGAACCGGGGGAACUGAAACAUCUAAGUACCCCGAGGAAAAGAAAUCAACCGAGAUUCCCCCAGUAGCGGCGAGCGAACGGGGAGCAGCCCAGAGUCUGAAUCAGCUUGUGUGUUAGUGGAACGGUCUGGAAAGUCCGACGGUACAGGGUGAUAGUCCCGUACACGAAAAUGCACAGGCUGUGAACUCGAAGAGUAGGGCGGGACACGUGGUAUCCUGUCUGAAUAUGGGGGGACCAUCCUCCAAGGCUAAAUACUCCUGACUGACCGAUAGUGAACCAGUACCGUGA
rnacentral:rRNA from 1 species